AUCGCUUCUCGGCCUUUUGGCUAAGAUCAAGUGUAGAAUGCUUACAAUAUGUCAGGCACAUAUUUUUGCAUAAUUCUGUUUUAGGAGACAGAUAACUUGUCAUAUUUUUCAGAGGAAUAAACAGGCUCAGAGAGCUCAAAAGGGUAUCCUAC
rnacentral:snRNA from 1 species